AGCAGACAGGUCCUCUCUCCUGCAUUCCAUCCAGCAAGAAGUCACUGGAGUACUCUAUGUGCUCUGCCUCUGUUACCCAGAGUUGUGCUGUUUGUCCUUCUAACACACUGAGAACAUCAGCUCCAUGAAGGUAGCAGCCCCCAUCUACUACGGGGGGCCGGGAGGGUCCCAAGCAGCCGGGAACUGCUCACUGAAGUGUUGGUCCCAGAAGAAUGUGGCUGCCCUGGGGAAUCUGUAAAGAAGGAAGAGAAUGGGGAAACAGACCCACACUCGGGGAGAUGAGGAGACUGGCCAGAGUUCAGGUAGGUGCUGCGUGGCAGAGCCAUGAUGGGAUGCUACACCCUUCUCCCACCUUGCUGAGCCCCCACUCCUCCCCUGAGCCCCACACCCAGCCCCCAGGUGCAGUGGAUUUGCUCCAAACAUCUCAUUCACUAUCACCUCCCAAUGGCUGCUCCCUUCCCGUGACUCAGCGGCUGCCAUCCGUGCUCCUCAUCUUUAUGCGGCUAAGAUGUGCAGGAUGUGUGUUCUUGUGUGGAAGCCUGUAAAAUCUAUUUAUGGACCUAACUGUCAGUUUUCAUGAGUGACAGACAUCUAGUGCUUUGACUACCUGGCCUAAUGCAUCGGUAUCUGACAUUUUAAAUAGAACUCACUCUCUCCCCUCCCUGUUCUUUUAGGAAGUAAUUUGAGAUAGCAGAUAUUUUUAAAUUCGUAUAUCUUUAAUUAUAUCUACACAACUGUCAGAGAUUAGUGAUUUCCUCAAUCUGGCUCUCCUUAAGGGAGAAUUUGGAACCUACGUGACACCCAAAAGGGCUCCAAAGGAUAUGCUGUCAGGAACAAAGACAUUCGCAGGCAGGGCGCUUGGCUUUAGUCAAGUUCGAGUUCUCACUGCAGAUUAAUUUUGUGCGACAUUUCUAUGAAUUAUGAAAAAGCAGCACUCGUGGACGGCAAACAUAAAUAGAUGUAACCGUGUAAACCAAUAAACAAGCAUGUGGCAGACGGAGAGUGGGCUGUGUGUGGAAAUACCUCCCUGCCCCCAGAGAAAUAAGGAACAAUAGGUUUUGGGCGGUAUCCGUGUAUUUUGACUCCAGAAGAAAAUCUCAGCCUCCCAUGUAAGCAAACUCAGUCUCGAAGCUUGAGGUCAGAGAGGACUUCAGGAAGAAUUUCAGCUAGCUCUCCUGCUUGAUCCAGGAUUUCUCCUGUGAUAAAACUCUGUUAGCAAAGAUUUCCUAGAAGCCUAUGGGGCACCAGGCAUGAGGCAGGCCAGGGGCACAUGCUAGGCACAAGGCAGGUCUCCUAGAAAUCAAAGGGCUGCUCCCAAUAUUGGAGGAACAAGACACAAGCAAAGAAGCACCUGCAGACCAUGGGAGAAGAGCACUGAGGGAUAUCUGCCUGUUGCUCUCCGACACAAGGGGAAGCAGAAAAUGGGGCAAAAGUCCUCCUUUUAACUAGGUGUGUGAUGCUGGGCAAGCUAAUUUCUCUUUCUUUCCCAGUAAAAUGGGAUUAAUACUAUUUUCCCCUUUGUGGGCAUUAAAUAAAAGCUGGCUUCUGGUUCCUACAGCUGUCUCACUUCCACUGCUUCCUUAUGAGAACCCUGCAUGCAGCUCCAGGACACUAACUUGCUCACCCUUCUUCCAAAACACUACGAUCUCUUAUGCUUGAAUACACGGAGCAUCUCAGGUGGUGCCUGCACAUCUUCCUCUUUUUUAAUAAACUCCUUUCAACUCGUAUGAUCUAGCUUGCAUGGUACCUCUUCUGUGAAGCUUCCUCUAAUCUCCUGGGCACUUUUCUGGCUCUUCUGAUCCCGGGCAAAUAUAUCCACUGAGGUCCUGGUCACACUGGACUAUAGUAGAUUCCCCAUUUAUCUUCAUAUCCAGUUCAUGUCUCAAGAAAUCUAUCCAUCUAUCUAUCUAUCUAUCUAUCUAUCUAUCUAUCUAUCUAUCUAAUUAUAUCCUCAGGACCUGCCUAGUGACUGGCCCAUUACUGACAGAUACUCUAAUACACUGUUGUUCACAGGAAUGAAUAGUGAAUGAAGGGAUAAAUGUUCAAAUAAACAAUGAAUAAUACAUGUCAAUACCUUGUAAAUGUUAAUAAAAUAAGAUUCUGUGGGCAUAUAAUUUCAAUCAUCCCCCAAACCACACCAAGUAGACUUGUUCUAAAGUAAACUUAGGGCAUGGGCACCAGCCCAUGAGAACUGUUGUCGGUGACAUCACCAUCAGCCCUUGAGAUACUCGAGUGGGCUAAACGGUAGCCCUGAAAAGAUACUGUUGUAUCCUUAUCCAUGGAUCCUGUGAGUAUGGCCAUAUUUGGGGGAAAAAAAAAGAUCUUUGUAGACAUAAAUAAGUUAAGUAUCUUGAGAUAAGGAGAUCAUCCUGGAUCAUCUGGAUGGGUCCGAAAUCUAGUAACAAGUGUCCUUACAAGAGAUACACAGAAGAGAAGGCUAUUUGAAGACAGAAAGACCCACACUCGGGGAGAUGAGGAGACUGGCAGAGAGAGGCGUGACCACAGACCAAAAGCACCAACUAGCAACCAUGAGAAGCUGGAAGAGGCAAGACACAGAUUCUCCUCUGGAGCUUUCAGAGGGGGAGCAGCCCUGCUGACCCACCUAAAUUUUGGACUUUCAGAGAGAAUGUGAGAACUGUGAGAGAGUGGAUUUCGGUUCUCUCUCUUUUUUUUUUAAGAUUUUAUUUGUCAGAGACAGAAACAGAGAGCACAACCAGAGGGAGCAGCAGGCCGAGAGAGAGAGAGAGAGAGAGAGAGAGAGAGAGAAGCAGAGUCCCCACUGAGCAAGA